rnacentral:rRNA from 1 species
GACGAACGCUGGCGGCGUGCUUAACACAUGCAAGUCGAACGGAAAGGCCCUGCUUUUGUGGGGUGCUCGAGUGGCGAACGGGUGAGUAACACGUGAGUAACCUGCCCUUGACUUUGGGAUAACUUCAGGAAACUGGGGCUAAUACCGGCUAGGAGCUCCUGCUGCAUGGUGGGGGUUGGAAAGUUUCGGCGGUUGGGGAUGGACGGGCGGGUUAUCAGCUUGUUGGUGGGGUAGUGGCUUACCAAGGCUUUGACGGGUAGCCGGCCUGAGAGGGUGACCGGGGACAUUGGGACUGAGGUAGGGCCCAGACGCCUACGGGAGGCAGCAGUGGGGAAUAUGGCACAGUGGGCGGAAGCCUGAGGCAGCAGCCCCGCGUGCGUGAUGACGGCCUUCGGGUUGUAAACCGCUUUCGCCUGUGACGAAGCGUGAGUGACGGUAAUGGGUAAAGAAGCACCGGCUAACUACGUG